rnacentral:tRNA from 1 species
GGGGGUGGAGCUCAGGGGCAGAGUGUGUGCUUAGCAUGCAUGAGGUCUUGGGUUCAAUCCCCAGGCCCUCCG